rnacentral:rRNA from 1 species
AUGGAGGCAUCACUAUUUGGAGCUGGAUUAUCCAUUUUUGCAGCAUCAGCAAUGUUGUUUUUGUUUGGAAUGGCCAGUUCUCAAUUUCUAAAUCGGCUAUACUAUACUUCUUGUCAGAGCAGCAGAGAAACGUGUUUCUACGAAUGUGCCAAAACUGAUGGAUUUAACUACAGGUCGAAGCCAAAGCUGUUCUUAUUGAAUCUCAUGAUGCCCCUGAUGCUUGCUGCUGUAAGCAAGAAAAUUGAGUACAAGUUUCAAUGUCAACCUGAGUUUUCAUUGUGGAUGUUUGAGAGUCAACCUGAAUUUUGA